GAAAUGUACUUUCGGCAGUUUACAAACACAUUUGAUUAAGGCUCCGUUAGACACAUAUAACCAUAUCAAUAUAAUUUCUAGUAGUAGUGUGGUUGCUUAAUAAGUGGAAAGGAAUGUGCAGGCUACAUGAAUUUGUUUUCUUCAAAGUAUUGUGGAACAGGAGGUCCGGAAAGGGAGCAUAUCUCAAGGCCGAUGGGAACGCGAAAAACAACUCGUCUUUGUGGUCCAGACACCUGUGCUGAGCAGGGGAAAACCCAAACGAGGAGGAGAUGACCACAGACCAUCGACCAAUCACCACACAAUCUUUUGCAUGUUUGAAUAUUCAUAUUGUGUUUCUUUAAAACUGGGCAACCCGGAAGAAUGUGUCGUCUUUCUGGUCACGAAGGCACACGAGUUUUUGUGUUAAGGACCCAAAGACCCAGGCGCCUGUAUUAGCUUGCUUUGUCAAGAUUAAACAAUUGGUAAAUUCGGUCUGAUUGAUCUACUGGUCUUCUCUUUGACAGAACGAACUCGCAAAAUUGUUAGGUGCGCCAGUGUGUGGAUUAGAACAUAGCAAUUUUUGUGUUAAGUGUUGAUCACAAUUUGGAGUCAGAUCAAUAGCUAAAAUCCGUAUCCUAACAGUUUCUUGGUGACCCCGACGUGAUGUCAAGAGAAGGGUAAUUGACAAACUCGUGGUCUGUGUCCAAGUCAUCGGACAGUUAGUCUGGGACAGCUGUCUCCCGGUCGGCGUACCGUUUGAAUAAGGAAUAAGCGCACAACGUUGAGCUGGUACGACGUCUCCUAAACCCUGAGCUCAUCAAUGAUAAGGUAAGCAGAAUACCUGUUACUAUAUGUCGAAAUUCUGCAAAUUGAAAGAGGAAAUUUAAGAGGAGACUGUCGUUCAGAUCAAAUAAGGUGUGCAAGCUUUUAAAAACAGUUAAAUUCCGUGGUGGGAGGGCGGGCUCCUCUGUUCUUUUAGAAACAGUUAAAUUCCGUGGUGGGAGGGCGGGCUCCUCUGUUCUUUGAGAAACAGUUAAAUUCCGUGGUGGGAGGGCGGACUCCUCUGUUUUGCUUCGUCGUGGCGGACAAGGGUGCGGUGACGAUCGCAUUCAAAUAGCUGGGGUGCUUGUGAGAUCCCCGAGGAGAAGUGAGGCCUCCUCAAAAAGUAUCCGGUGGUAACAGUUCCUCCUGUGAGAGACCAGACCGCUAAAAUAUCCAAAAUGUGCAACCAAAUUGGGGGGAGUGUGUGUGUGAUGAGAGGAAUGAAUGGAGUGAGAUUGAGAGGAAUGUAUGCUGGAAGUGCAAAUUGUGAGCUACAUGAGAGAUGGAUUCGAAUCCCUUUGUCUGUGUGUUCUGUGUAUGUGCGUAAUCUCUGUAAAAGUUUGUGUCAGUCUAUCGUCGUUCGUCUGAGCUCUGCGCGAGCACUUUGUGUAUUGGCGUGCGUGCCGUGCGGAUGCGUGUGUGUAUGUGCGGUUGUGUGCGCGCUCGCUGUGUGUGCGUUUAUGUGUACAUGUGUGGUUGCGGGCGUGUGAGGAGGAAGAUGGGAUGGAUCAGAGAAUGUUCAAGAAGGAGGGGGCCCGUUCGGCUCAUACCGGCAAGGGUGGGGGCCAGCAGGACAUGCGGGCCUGGCCAGAUUGUGACGUCAACAUUGAUACAAUGUUGAGGAGAAGUGAGAGAAGAGAGGGGGGCUAACUUGUAAAUAGUGAUGAGAUAAUUGCUCAAUUGAUGGGGGUUAAUAAUUAUCCAAAUUUUAGUCACAUGUUUUGAGGGACCACAGCAACAACAUUGUAUUUGCAGGCCAUUAAUUUAGUUGGUGAUGACAGUGUUUAGAUAAGUAGAUUGUUUUAUCAAAAAAUGUGAGAGUGAAGGAGGAGGUUUGAUUUGUAAUCUGGCAUUUGGGUGCCACUUUUAAGAGUCUGUGCAGGAGCAUAGAUUGUUUUGGUUGUUUUUAAAGAUAUAUUUAACAGUUUAUUUCGGUGCAGUAAGGAUAUAGCAGUUUUGAAAGACUUAAAAUCGAAAGCAAAAUUACAUUUUAAUUUUGACAUAUGGCAGCUAACAUGAGGAUGGCAAAUAAAUAAAUGAAUAAAUACUAGCUCAAAUGUGGCAUGUGUUUUAAAUUGGGCGAUAAGGCAUUCACUUUCGAGCCAUUUAGCGCUGCUGACAACAAUAAUUUAUGAGAUGGUAAAUCAAGGAGGAAUGUCAUAGUUGGAACACAGGCGCUGUAUGACCUAUAGAUUGAACAAUAACAUUCACCGCAUAUGUUGUGAAUUGUUAAAUUAUAUUACAGUUUAUUACAAAAGAUUUCGGAACUUUAUUUGAUGAUAAACACUGGAACGAGGAUUUUAGCCGUGUUAAUGGGUAGGGUGGAUGGAUUGCUCAGAAGAAAAAAGCAUUUGAUAAGGGCGGCUUGAUAGUAAGAUGAUGAGUGUGCGCAACUGAUAGGAUACAAAAUGUUAAUAGGAAGAUUUGGGGUGUAAGAAACAAAUACUACACAGGAAGAUUGAUAACACAAAGAUAGUUUUGUUAAAUUUGUGUCCCAGUGUGUUCUUCCCUAGUGCGUGGCACGAUUCCUGAACUGAGUCCUCUUACUCCACUGGCUGUCUCAAAAUCAACAGAGGACUGUCCCUGAUCAUGAGACACCUUUGAGAACAACAGAAACUGCUAUCAUGCUUGAAGGGGGCAAGCACAGCUUUUCACAGGACAAGAACCAUACAGUUGGUGGAAUACACACAGUUGCAGAUCAGAAAAGAAAAUGGACUGAAAGAACAAAGACAAGAUGGACGCAUUUGAGAGUGGCGGACGAUCCAGCCCUGAAUCAUCAUCAUGAGAAUUUAAGAGGAGAGGCUGCUAAAGACUUGCAUGAGUCACAUGAAGUCAAACUGGACACAUUGCUAAAGACUGCUGAAGCAUUACAAAGUUGGUGGAGUGUGGGACAAAAGGGAUGGAAGUGUGUUUGGGUGCUGGGGCGGACAUAUCUGAGGAGUUUUGAUAAAAGAGGGAAUAAUAAGGCUGCUUAUUGACACUGAAACGGGGAUAACAACAAAAUACAUAGAUAUGGACAGCAAAGAUGCACUAAUAAUAACAAAUCAUACGACAGCGUGAUCAGAAACUUUGCAAAGUGGAUAUUGAUCGAUAGAAAUUAAAUUUAUCAAAACGACAGAAUUUAAUUAUACAUCAAUUGCGACAAUUGAUUUAAAUGACACUUUAUGAUAGGCAUUUAUGGUUAGGGUUAACAAUCCAUCCAUCCAUCCAUCCAUCCAUUACUGGUGCGGCUUGUCCUUACGAGGGUCACGGAGGUUUAACAAUAAUAAUUAGAAUUUGUAAUUUCUGGAGAAAUUGUGUGUGAAGGCGAAGAGCCUGAAUACAAAUUCGGGGAAUGCUACAAGAUUAUGUUUAAAUUUAGAACGUGUUGAAUUGGUCAGGAAAUCGAUGAAAAUAUCGAAAGAAUUUUGUAAAAUUGGGCGUGAAUUUUAAAGUUGAAAAUUUGAAAUUUUUCACAAGUGGGAAGUUUUGGAAUAGGUAGGCAUAAGAUGAAUAGUUAAAAGAAAUUGAAAAGGGUUGAGUCAGUGAAAGAAUAAUUAGAAAUUAGAAGGGAAAAAGGGAAUGUUGCAAAAUGUUACUGCAAUGUUGAAAGUGAAAAUGUGAAAUUUCAAGCUAGAAAGUGAGAGAAGGUGAAUUGGAAAGUGAAAGAAGGUUAAUUGGAGGAAUUAUGUAGAAGAAAAUGAGAAAUAUUGAAUGUGCCAUGAAGAAUGAAUGGUGAAAUAUUGGCUUAAAAUGUAUAAAUUUCUCAAAAAUCGUAAAUAUUUAGAAUAUUUGGCAUGAAUAUUUGGAAUGUGUUAAAAGUGGAAUGAGGUGAAUCAGAUGAAUUCGUAGAAGUAGUUAAGUUAAAAAAUGAAUAAAUGAAAAAGAGGCAGAAGAAUGCAGAAGAAGUUGAAUAAUGAUAAAGUCAAGGCAAGGCAAGUUUAUUUAUAUAGCCCACAAGCAAGUCUCAAAGGGCUUCAAAUGUACAAAAAUUGACAAUUUAAAGUACAGGAACAAUAAGUGUGAGGGCCACAAUGAUGAUCAUGACAGCAAAAAUAUUCCUAAUUGGUUUUGAUAGGUAGAAAGGGGGAGCGUGGAAGGUUUUCAAACUUUGUGAUAUAGCGUGACUCCAUUAUCAAAAGUAAGCAUUUAAUUUUAAGAAUUAGCAUCAACAAAAAUGAGAACGAUAAUCUUCAAGGUGAUAGCGUAAGUGGCAGGAGGAAGCUGUGUAUAUUGUUUUUAAACAUUAUUUUUGGUAUCAUUAUUUUUUAGGAGGGUCAGUUAUGCUUGUGAGAAGAUGACUGAGGGAACAAGGUAACAGUAAAAGGGAGUGCUCUAUAAAUUGUUGGUUCUUUGCCAGAGGGAGUUAUUUGGAGGGAUGAAUUUAAACUGAAAGCCAAAUGGAACUGUUUAGUGGAAGAAAUAUGGGAAUGUGGAAAUACUGAAGUUACAGCUCAACACAAAGUGUCAAAUGGUCUAAGUGAGAGAUGUGAGCAAACUAAAUGGGGAGUUAAAUCAUGUUCCGGCAUUAUGCAUAUUGGCAAACGAGGAGAGGACAGGAAACCAGACAAUUAGAUAUUAACUUUGGAUUUAAAAUAAAAAAGGGAAAUUUUAAUUGAGGAGAAAAUUUUGCGUAGGGACGGUUCCUUUUUAUAAUUUAAUAUUGUAUGUUUUUAUGUGUGUGUUGUGGAAUGACAGUUUGUUUGUAAUGGUGUAUGAAUGUCAAGUCUGUGCUUGUGGUGUGGUGUUUGUGUAUUGUGAAUGGUUGACAUGAUUCAAAGUUGGGGUGAUGUGAUCACAGCAGAGGAUAACAUUCCUCUCACCUGAAAAAUAUAAAGAUACUACAGAUUUGAAAAAGCACAAUUGAUCAGGACUAAUUUUGGACUAAAUAUGGGUUUAGGAUUACUCAGGGGCACCAUCGACAACAAAACAGUGCGAUGGAGAAGGCCCAUUUCAGUAAUAUGGUUAGACAAGACAGAACUGGUAUUGAACGUUAAGACUUUGGACGAUUUGACGUGUGACAACUUUGAGCUCACCCGACGGGGUGACGGACUAGGUGGACAGUGACCAAAUGUUUGACGCUUGAGCUUGCUUGCGACAAGUGCACGCUCUGCUUUGUUUUUCUGUGUGACUUAAUUUUUUUGCAGCAGCAGCAACAGCCACCAGCCAAGGAGCGGAUUGCGCGCUGCUUGCGUAACUUGUUUUCGUUCUUGCAGGUUGUCAAUUGCGUUCGUGGAAAAUUUGUAUUGAAUUUACAUGAAUAUGUUAACCUUUGCCCUUUUGGUUUUUAUGAUGAACUUGUUGAUGACAUGGUUUUCAGGACAUGAUCCGCGGGCGCCAGGAUUCAUUUUAUGACUGUUUUUAUUUUGAUACUUGAUGUAUGUUUUUGUGUGUACAAAUGUCCGCUAUCAGCAGGGCUAUAAGCUCACUGACAGGAGUGCGAUGAUUUUUGUUUGUGUUGCCGAGCGUGUGGUGGACGAGCUAGAGGUUCCGCAGGCCUGGCUACAAUGAGUGUGGUGAUGAGAGGGGAUGCUUAGCAGGUUCCUUUUGAUACAUAAUGACACAUUGGGUGAAUGUGUCAAAAGGGGGAGUGGUAAAAUAGAAAUGGGUGAGUAUGUGGUAAGAUAGAAUUGGGUGAGUAGGUUGUAAAAUACAAAUGGGUGAGUAGGUUUCAAUUUGUAAUUUUGAUAUCCAAAAAUUUUUUCCAAAUCCACUUGUUUUUAAGCUUUAACAGGACAUGCCAGAAUUCAACUAGCAGUGAUGGAAGGAGCAGAGGAAGACCAGUGACAACUGGUUGUGGUGUGGUGACAACAAAUUAUAGCAUGGCUUGCCAAAGGAUGCAUAGGGUAUCUGUGCCCUCGUGUCUUUUGUGCCUCAUAACCACUGUAAUGCCUGUAGUGGUUGUCCCCAUUGAAACACAGACUCUCAAUUGGAACAUGGAGUCCCCACUGGCGGGGCUCCUGAAGUGAGCCAAAAGAGACGUUUUGCCCCCAUGGUUGAGCGACAACGAUCCAACAUAUAUUGACGCCAUAGGUGUGCCAGAUAAGUAUGAAUUCGUUAAUCAAGUGUCCUCGGGAUUCAAAAGCAUUUUCCUAUGGAUCACCCCCAAUAAAAAUGUAUCAUUUACAGCGGUCCAUGAACAAUUGGCAUUGAUGUCGUUCCAAAAUAGAAUUGCGUUGGACAUGCUAUUGGCUAAGGAACAUGGUGUGUGCGGAAUGUUUGGUGAUGCAUGUUGUACUUUCAUCCCCAACAACACAGCGCCAGGGGGCCGACUGGCCCAGGCGGGAAGAAAGGACCGACAGCAUGCUGGUCGCUGCUUGCUAGAGUAACGGGUGAUGACCUCAUAAAUGAGGUCAUGAGAGGGAAUAAAGGGAAAUGUACUUUCGGCAGUUUACAAACACAUUUGAUUAAGGCUCCGUUAGACACAUAUAACCAUAUCAAUAUAAUUUCUAGUAGUAGUGUGGUUGCUUAAUAAGUGGAAAGGAAUGUGCAGGCUACAUGAAUUUGUUUUCUUCAAAGUAUUGUGGAACAGGAGGUCCGGAAAGGGAGCAUAUCUCAAGGCCGAUGGGAACGCGAAAAACAACUCGUCUUUGUGGUCCAGACACCUGUGCUGAGCAGGGGAAAACCCAAACGAGGAGGAGAUGACCACAGACCAUCGACCAAUCACCACACAAUCUUUUGCAUGUUUGAAUAUUCAUAUUGUGUUUCUUUAAAACUGGGCAACCCGGAAGAAUGUGUCGUCUUUCUGGUCACGAAGGCACACGAGUUUUUGUGUUAAGGACCCAAAGACCCAGGCGCCUGUAUUAGCUUGCUUUGUCAAGAUUAAACAAUUGGUAAAUUCGGUCUGAUUGAUCUACUGGUCUUCUCUUUGACAGAACGAACUCGCAAAAUUGUUAGGUGCGCCAGUGUGUGGAUUAGAACAUAGCAAUUUUUGUGUUAAGUGUUGAUCACAAUUUGGAGUCAGAUCAAUAGCUAAAAUCCGUAUCCUAACAAAUCACAACAGUUACAUUUGACAAAAUGUUAUUUUUGAUGUUUAAUGGUAAGUAAAUGGAAAUGGGCACAAAAGUGCUCAUACAUGGGCCAAGGAAUAGUACAGUUUCAAUGUGAUUUAAUAUAUGUUUUAAUUUAAAAGUAGAUUUAAACAUCAGAUUUUUUUUUUUAAAACAACCAUUCUUGGAAUUAAAGGUUUAAGCCAGUUAUGGACAUCACCAUUUCUGAUAUAAAAUUUCAAAACAUUAAGUGAUACCACAUACAACAAGGGCAGAAAUUGGCAAGAAUAUUCUUACAGUGGGGGGAGGUUGGAACAAUUUAUCAAGACCCCAAGAAGAGAGGGCACUCUGGGUUUUUGUAAAGACUUAAAUUAUCUGAGUUUUUGUAAAGACUUAAAUUAGAGACAUUUCUUUGAGUAAAACAUGUUGAAUAAAGAAUAUUGUGAUUAAAAUACAAUUAAAUAUUGUUUUCUGGGAAAGUUAUUAUUAAAAUAUAUUUCAACUCAAUUUUAUUUUUUUUUGCAGGAAAAAUGAAUACCCUGAAGUUACAUGAAACCACUUGAAAUGAGAUUUAAAAUAUAAUGGAAGAGAAAAUUGAAUGCAUGGAAAUGAACCCUUUUCACAUAUUCUGAGAAAAACUGUCGUGACAAAUAAUGAUUGCAAUACACUGCUUUGAACCUGCUCCAGCCCUCAGAGUUACGUUAUGAGUUAAGACCAGAGCGGAAGAAGGGUCUGACUGAGAGGAGCAGACAGUGAAGACGAGGAAGAAGAAUAUAUCUUGCACCCCCUACCCCAACUCUCUUCAGUGACUAUCAAUAGUAUCAUUUGUAUAUGAAAUUGUAAGACGUACACUUCAGCAUGACAUUGUAUCUUAAUUAACAUGUUCCAUGGGGUCACAAUUGAUUUCUGCAGUGAUUCAGUUUAUAUGAUGUACCCUGUUAUCAUAUUUAUGAAUGAAAUA